rnacentral:sRNA from 1 species
CUAUAGCCCCGAUAGUAGCGGCAUCCUUUUUCUUUUUUUGGCAAAAAAAAGAAAAAGAUAUAGUGGAUAGCGGGAUUAAGC